AGCUAAAAAUCUGCAUAAGGACGAUCACAAGAACUUUAUAUGAGUGACAUGCAAAUGGGUGGCACCUAAUGUAACUUAAUUGCGUAUGCGCA
rnacentral:lncRNA from 1 species